UCUAAUAUUGUUCUUAGGGACAAAAAUAUUGACAAUUUGNCCUCAANUCAGGUAGGACUACCCGCUGAACUUAAGCAUAUCAAUAAGCGGAGGAAAAGAAACUAACAAGGAUUCCCCUAGUAACUGCGAGUGAAGCGGGAAAAGCUCAAAUUUAAAAUCUGGUAGUCUUUGGCUGCCCGAGUUGUAAUCUAGAGAAGUGUUAUCCGCGCUGGACCGUGUACAAGUCUCCUGGAAUGGAGCGUCAUAGAGGGUGAGAAUCCCGUCUUUGACACGGACUGCCAGGGCUUUGUGAUGCGCUCUCAAAGAGUCGAGUUGUUUGGGAAUGCAGCUCUAAAUGGGUGGUAAAUUCCAUCUAAAGCUAAAUAUUGGCGAGAGACCGAUAGCGAACAAGUACCGUGAGGGAAAGAUGAAAAGAACUUUGGAAAGAGAGUUAAACAGUACGUGAAAUUGUUGAAAGGGAAACGCUUGAAGUCAGUCGCGUUGGCCGGGGAUCAACCUUGCUUUUCUGCUUGGUGUACUUCCUGGUUGAUGGGUCAGCAUCAAUUUUGACCAGUGGAAAAAGGUCAGGGGAAUGUGGCAUCUUCGGAUGUGUUAUAGCCCUUGGUUGCAUACAUUGGUUGGGAUUGAGGAACUCAGCACGCCGCAAGGCCGGGUUUUUACCACGUUC
rnacentral:rRNA from 1 species